rnacentral:tRNA from 2 species
GGAGAGAAGCUCAAUUGGUUGAGCACCUGGUAAUUACAGGCGGCUGUCGGUUCGAGUCCGGCCUCUCCG